CCUACGGGGGGCAGCAGUGAGGAAUAUUGGGCAAUGGACGCAAGUCUGAACCAGCCAUGCCGCGUGAAGGAUGACGGCUCUAUGAGUUGUAAACUGCUUUUGUACGAGGGUAAACCCCGACACGUGUAUCGGGUUGAAAGUAUCGUACGAAUAAGGAUCGGCUAACUCCGUGCCAGCAGCCGCGGUCAUACGGAGGAUCCGAGGGUUAUCCGGAUUUAUUGGGGUGAAAGGGUGCGUAGGCGGUAUGAUAAGGUAGAGGUGAAAUGUCGGGGCUCAACCCCGAAACUGCCUUUAAGACUGUUUGACUAGAGAAUAGUUGCGGUAGGCGGAAUGUAUGGUGUAGCGGUGAAAUGCUUAGAGAU
rnacentral:rRNA from 1 species